rnacentral:rRNA from 1 species
GAUGAACGCUGGCGGCGUGCCUAAUACAUGCAAGUCGAGCGAAGCGGGGACGGGUGAGUAACACGUGGAUAACCUCCUAUAAGGCUGGGAUAACUUCGGGAAAACGGAGAUAAACCCGAAAAUUAUAGAUUGAUCCACACUGCAUUAGAUAGUUGUUAAGGUAACGGCUUACCAAGGCAACAAUGCAUAGCGGACCUGAGAGGAUGAUCGGCCACACUGGAACUGAGACACGGUCCAGACUCCUACGGGAGGCAGCAGUGGGGAAUCUUCCGCAAGGGGCGAAAGCCUGACAUAGCAACGCCGCGUGAGUGAUGAAGGUCUUCGGAUCGUAAAACUCGUUUAUUAGGGAAGCGGUACCUAAUCAGAAAGCCACGGCUAACUACGUGCCAGCCGCCGCGGUAAUUC